rnacentral:rRNA from 1 species
AGAGCGAACGCUGGCGGCAGGCUUAACACAUGCAAGUCGAGCGGGCAUAGCAAUAUGUCAGCGGCAGACGGGUGAGUAACGCGUGGGAACGUACCUUUUGGUUCGGAACAACACAGGGAAACUUGUGCUAAUACCGGAUAAGCCCUUACGGGGAAAGAUUUAUCGCCGAAAGAUCGGCCCGCGUCUGAUUAGCUAGUUGGUGGGGUAAUGGCCCACCAAGGCGACGAUCAGUAGCUGGUCUGAGAGGAUGAUCAGCCACAUUGGGACUGAGACACGGCCCAAACUCCUACGGGAGGCAGCAGUGGGGAAUAUUGGACAAUGGGCGCAAGCCUGAUCCAGCCAUGCCGCGUGAGUGAUGAAGGCCCUAGGGUUGUAAAGCUCUUUUGUGCGGGAAGAUAAUGACGGUACCGCAAGAAUAAGCCCCGGCUAACUUCGUGCCAGCAGCCGCGGUAAUACGAAGGGGGCUAGCGUUGCUC